rnacentral:rRNA from 1 species
UCCAUGCCUUCGGGUGUGGUGAAAGUGGCGGACGGGUGAGUAACGCGUGGGGACCUGCCUGGUGGUCGGGGAUAACCGCGGGAAACUGCGGCUAAUACCCGGUGAGCCCUAACGGGGAAAGAUUUAUCGCCAUUGGAGGGGCCCGCGUCGGAUUAGGUAGUUGGUGGGGUAACGGCCUACCAAGCCUGCGAUCCGUAGCUGGUCUGAGAGGAUGAUCAGCCACACUGGGACUGAGAUACGGCCCAGACUCCUACGGGAGGCAGCAGUGGGGAAUAUUGGACAAUGGGCGCAAGCCUGAUCCAGCAAUGCCGCGUGAGUGAAGAAGGCCUUAGGGUUGUAAAGCUCUUUCGGCGGGGACGAUGAUGACGGUACCCGCAGAAGAAGCCCCGGCUAACUCCGUGCCAGCAGCCGCGGUAAUACGGAGGGGGCUAGCGUUGUUCGGAGUUACUGGGCGUAAAGGGCGCGUAGGCGGCUGUGCAAGUCAGGUGUGAAAGGCCCGGGCUCAACCCGGGGACGGCGCUUGAGACUGCACGGCUCAUGAGUCCGGGAGAGGAUGGUGGAAUUCCCAGUGUAGAGGUGAAAUUCGUAGAUAUUGGGAAGAACACCGGUGGCGAAGGCGGCCAUCUGGACCGGUACUGACGCUGAGGCGCGAAAGCGUGGGG